rnacentral:lncRNA from 1 species
AGAAAAGCUCACACACACUUUUGAGACGAACAAGAAAAGAGAAAAUCUGAAGGUACAAAAUCGCAUGGCCAAGUGGCAUGAUGCCAAGAUUCCAGGAAGCACAGUCCUGUGAAAGGAUGGGUAGAAGCCUACCCUACAAAGGAGACUGCCAACAUAGUGGCAAAGAAGCUUCUGCAAGACAUCACACCCAGGUAUGGUUUGCCUACCCUGCUUGAGUCUGACAAUGGACCAGCAUUCAUCUCUCAGGUAACUCAAUCUCUAGCACAGGUUCUGGGGACCAAUUGGAAAUUACAUUGUGCAAACAGACCCCAAAGUUCAGAGCAAGUUCAGAGAGGAUGAAUAGGGCCCUGGAGAAGGCCUUGACCAAAUUAACCCUUGAAACUGACAGUGACUGGGUGUUCCUCCUACCUUAUGCCUUAUAUAGGGCUAGGAAUACCCCUAUAUUUUAGAUAUCAUCCCCCCUUUGAGAUCCUGUAUGGGAGCCUCCCUCUCAUGCUGCCUAACCUCCAGUCUGAUAUCUGAGCCAAAUAUGACUAACAUAAGUUUUUAAGAUCUUUGGAAGCCCUCCAUAGGGUCCAGAAACAACUCUGGCUACCAUCCACCAGGGUUAUGAGUCUGCUCCUCCCCCUGCCAUAGCUUUGAACCAGGUGAAGAAGUCUAGAUUAAGAAACAUAACUAUAAGACUCUGGAACCUCACUGGAAGAACCUCACAUCAUGAUCCUGACCAUACCUACAGCUGUGAAGACAGAUAAGAUCAGGGCAUGGAUAUACCACUCCCAUGUUAAUGCUGCAACAGUGGAUAAACCAGAGCACCCUUACUAUCUGGGUACCCACAAGGGGUGAUGCGACAACCUUGUCAUCAAGUUCAUAGUGGAUGGCAAGAAGGCCAAUUGAACUGCCAGUUCUUAACUCCUCUCAUCCCAGACUUAACACACAACUGUUGGUUACCAGACAGGGACUCUGCAUUAGAAAUGAGGUACCCCCAGCCUAUUCCCACCUCUGCAACCACACUGUAACCCCUACUGUUGCAGGGUACAUGAUGCCCCCAGAGAAUGCUUGGUAAGUUGUACCUCAGGGUUUACUCUAUGCAUUUAUGGCCUGGUUGUAAAUAUGACUGAGAAUUUUUAUGUUCUAGUGCAGCUUGUACCCAGAGUGACUUUUUUUUUAUUCUGAAGAGGAUAUCUUCAACCAGCUAGCACCUCCAAAAAAGUAGGUUAAAAGGGUAGCCAUUUCUACUGUGUUAAUAGGCUCUCUCCUUGGCCUGAGCUGCUAAUGUGGGGAACUCAGUUCUGAUACUCCAAGAUA